GGCUGGACCCGACGCAUCUCUCCUCCAUCCCCUCCACGCCGCCCCUCGCCCGCGCCGGCGCCGGCGUCUGUGCUGCCCCUCGCCCGCCGGCGCACCUACGAAUCCUCCGUCGCUGUUUCCCUUGCCCACGCCGGAUCCCCGCGCCCGGCACCUCCAAUCGCGCCGCCGUUCUGGCUUCCCGGCCGGCCUCGAGGUCGAGGACGACGGGGCGUGGUUUCGCGCAGCUUAGUGAAGCUCCAAGGUACCCUUCCCCGGCGCCGCACAGAAAUGGAGGCCACCAUCCAAAGCUUCCCCUAGCGGUUCGCCUACCGGCCGGCCUCGCGCGGUGCCGGAUGAUGCACCAGUCGAGAGCGGUUGCACGCCAGCCACCAGGACGCGACGGCGUCCACGGAAGGGAGACGCGUCCCGUGGUCAGCCCCGCGGAGCUCGAGGUCGCCCCGACCAUCAGAAAUAGGCAGAGGAGGAGAUGCGUCCUUCACCGCCGCCCUCCUUCCCCAGGCCGUCCACCAUGAGGCCAGUCCGCUGCGGCAGCAAGCCCAUUCUGCCCAUGCUGCUCGCCGGGAACAUCGCCACAGCCGGUGAGCCAUCUCUCAUCCCUAGACGUUAACAAUCUUGCAGGAUGGUGCCCGAGCUUAAAAAAAACAACUUGCUCAACUUUUAUUGAGUAGUACGAUUGGAUCCCAAGAGCUCCCAAGAGCGGUAAGGUUGUAGUUUUCGGUGUGUUUUGUGAUGUGAUAUUGUUCUGUCUUCUCCAUUAUAUGAUGCUGAAGAACAAAAUAAUAUUGCCAAUACUUACUCUAUCAGCAGUAUGAUUCGUUGUAUCUUGCAUCAACUUAGAAAAAAAUGUAAAAGAAGGCAGAAGUUUCACUUAUCACAUUGUAUACAUUAUCCGUUUAGUCUUAGAUUCAUGCAUCUUGUGAACGGCAUUCUUGUUGGAUUUAAUUUAGGAAAGUUUCCUUUGAAUUGAACUACAUGUAAAGAAGAUAGUGAACUUUGCUUCGGCUAUGCAUACUGAAUAUAACAAAUUGCUAGCAUUUAUCAUUUACCGGAGAUUCCAAGCACUAUAUGUUAGUGAGAACCUUGUACCAUCUGAUUGGGAGUUUGAAGAGCUUGCUGGUCACACAUAUCUCUUUAAAAAAGAACAACUUGAGAGCCUUGUCAUUCCUUCGUCCAGCACACUUCAUGGCACCAUCAUUGGAAUGCCAUUAAUCUUGGAGGAACCAACUUCAGAGCCUUGAAAGUUAAAAUUCAAGUCAUCCCUGACGAAUUGAUGGGUACAGGAUUUAUUCAACUUUGUUGCCUUGACACUAAAGAAUUUUGUUCAAAAAGAAGAUGAACAAAAGGCGCCUGGUUUUACAUUUACUUUCCCCGUUAGAUAGAAUUCAGUUUCUUCAGGUUCAUUGACUAAGGUUGGAUACACGAGGAGAUUCCAAGCACUAUAUGUCAGCGAGAACCUUGUACCAUCUGGUGGGGAGAUUGCGAGCUUGUUGGUCAUUCCUCCAUCCAAACAUACUUCAUAUGCCACCAUCAUUGGGAUGAAGAAUGAUGCUAUUGAUCUUGGAGGACCCUAUCUGAAGUCUAGAAGGUUCAGGUUGGUGUGGCGUCCUUCACUGCCACCAAGUUCACGCUGGCUGUGAAAGCCUGAAAGGACACCCUCCUUCCCGGUGUCAUCCACCAUGAGGCCACGCAGAAGCAGGCCUGUGCAGCUCCUCGGCUCUGCCCCCCCCCCCC